UUAAAUUGAAGAGUUUGAUCAUGGCUCAGAUUGAACGCUGGCGGCAGGCCUAACACAUGCAAGUCGAACGGUAACAGGAAGCAGCUUGCUGCUUUGCUGACGAGUGGCGGACGGGUGAGUAAUGUCUGGGAAACUGCCUGAUGGAGGGGGAUAACUACUGGAAACGGUGGCUAAUACCGCAUAACGUCGCAAGACCAAAGAGGGGGACCUUCGGGCCUCUUGCCAUCAGAUGUGCCCAGAUGGGAUUAGCUUGUUGGUGAGGUAACGGCUCACCAAGGCGACGAUCCCUAGCUGGUCUGAGAGGAUGACCAGCCACACUGGAACUGAGACACGGUCCAGACUCCUACGGGAGGCAGCAGUGGGGAAUAUUGCACAAUGGGCGCAAGCCUGAUGCAGCCAUGCCGCGUGUAUGAAGAAGGCCUUCGGGUUGUAAAGUACUUUCAGCGGGGAGGAAGGUGUUGCGGUUAAUAACCGCAGCAAUUGACGUUACCCGCAGAAGAAGCACCGGCUAACUCCGUGCCAGCAGCCGCGGUAAUACGGAGGGUGCAAGCGUUAAUCGGAAUUACUGGGCGUAAAGCGCACGCAGGCGGUCUGUCAAGUCGGAUGUGAAAUCCCCGGGCUCAACCUGGGAACUGCAUUCGAAACUGGCAGGCUUGAGUCUUGUAGAGGGGGGUAGAAUUCCAGGUGU
rnacentral:rRNA from 1 species